UGUUAAUCCAUCUUGGAAGCCAGGGUGGAACAACAACAACAAAAGUGAUAAAGCUGUACCUAAAGGUAGGAAUGAGUGGCAGAAAGGGAAAGAAGAAAGUGCUAGCAAAACAGCACCCAAAACAGAUUCACAACCAUCAAGGAAUCGAGACAUUAAGUGUUUCAGAUGCUUUGUGUCAGGGCACAUUGCUUCUCAAUGCCCAAAUAAACGGGUAAUG
rnacentral:lncRNA from 1 species